GACAUUACGCUGUCGUGCAGGUGAGAAGCUGCGUUCAGGUUCGAGCCGAGCGAAGCGAGACAACAGCGCUCAGCGCUGGCCCGAAGGGCGAG
rnacentral:sRNA from 1 species